ACGCUCGACACCUACGAGGCAGCAGUGGGGAAUAUUGCACAAUGGGGGAAACCCUGAUGCAGCGACGCCGCGUGAGCGAAGAAGUAUUUCGGUAUGUAAAGCUCUAUCAGCAGGGAAGAAACUGACGGUACCUGACUAAGAAGCACCGGCUAAAUACGUGCCAGCAGCCGACGGUAAUCUGAGCGGGCUGGACAAGGC
rnacentral:rRNA from 1 species